rnacentral:rRNA from 1 species
ACGCACGCUGGCGGCGCGCUUAACCCAUGCAAGUCGAACGGAAAGGCCUGCUUUCCCUUGUGGAUUGCGGGUACUCGAGUGGCGAACGGGUGAGUAACACGUGAGUGAUCUGCCCCCAACUUGGGUAUAAGCCUGGGAAACUGGGUCUAAUUCCCGAUAGGACUGCAGGGUGGUGCCUGUGGUGGAAAACGAUUUUUCUAGUGGUUGGGGAUGAGCUCGCGGCCUAUCAGCUUGUUGGUGGGGUAAUGGCCUACCAAGGCGGCGACGGGUAGCCGGCCUGAGAGGGUGGACGGCCACAUUGGGACUGAGAUACGGCCCAGACUCCGACGGGAGGCAGCAGUGGGGAAUAUUGCACAAUGGGCGGAAGCCUGAUGCAGCGACGCCGCGUGGGGGAUGACGGCCUUCGGGUUGUAAACUCCUUUCGACCGCGAGGAAGCCACCUGGUUGGAAGGGUGGUGACGGUAGUGGUGGAAGAAGCACCGGCUAACUACGUG